AACAUCAGCCAAUUCACAUUAAUAGAACACUUUCAUGUGAUCCGGGGAGAAAGGGGAUCCACACACCAGCCAGGAGUGAAGGAGUGCAGAAGGUUAUAUAAAUCAGGGACAGAGUGGUGCAUUUUCAUUUUCAGUCCAGAGGAAAAUUGGUUUGAGUCUUCCAGUCCUCCUGGGUUAGAUCCUCUUGAUCAAGAAAAGACAGUCUCUCCCUGGAUGAGCAUGAAGUGUGGAUGAGGAACCACAGGGGAAAUUCCAGCAAACAACAGUAAAGCAGCCUGAUGGCAGGAGUUUGUAGACCGAGACUUUGUGGAACAAAAGUCAGCAGACAACAUAUUGCUGCCCUAUGAAAUCCUGCCUUUUAUCAUGUCAGAUAUGGCACCAAAAAACACCAGUGGUGUUCACAGGAACUUGUUGAUCCCAUGGAUUUCCCACUAAUGAUAAAUACACUGUCUUCUGUUAUCAUCUGUGUUUCUGAGCACCCCUUUGUGGAGACAUCACUGGAACGGACAACCAGAAUUAAUAAUAACAAUCAGCUCGCCCAUAAACCAGUACUUCUUGUAACAUCACAUUUCAAAGGGUUUUUGUCACGUCUCCACCCUUCAGGAUGAUUAAAUGGGAAAUUAUUUCACCAUAACCUGAACAAGCACAUCAACAUUUGCCAGCAGGUACUUCUGACAGCUCUCAAGAAUAAUAUGAGAAAAUGAAAGACAAACACAAACACAUAAACAAGCCUGAAAACAAAAUGCAGAAUAGAUAUUGCCCUCAACACUAAUUCUCCCUUGAAAACAAACACAUGAGUGACUUCAAUGUACUGUUGCUGCAGUUUCACUGAACAAUUUCUGUAGUGCCAGGAGCACUGCUCAUGCCACAGGCCAAGAAACAGUAGAAGUGAAACAGGUUUUAACCAAAGUUCCUGUUCUCUGGGGCUGCUUUUGUGAAAUAUUUUGCUCAAUUUCUGACAGGCAGAGCCUGGCAGGAGCAGGGGGAGGCCGGGUGGAGGAGGUAUAACUUGUUUUCUUUCUCGCCUGGGGUGGAGGCAAGUUGGUUGCUGAGCAGGUUAUGAAGGUGGGUCCCCGGGAGAAAGCCUACAUUGCAUGAGUCUGAGGAGAAGGAGCAGGAAAAUAAGGUGAAAACUGGUGAGGUGAAGAUGGAAGGAAUGGUUUGAGGACGUGCUCUAGGAGCGUCAGUGAAUCCAAAGCGGCCAGAUUAAUCCUGGAAUGUAAGUGCAACAUUAAACAUCUCUUGCUUUCAGGAAAGCAGUUGUUUCACAGCACAAAAUAGGCUGGACAGACCACUUUGGUACUAGUGAGCAGUUUCUGAGAUAUGUAGCGUUAUAAUAAUUUUAAUAAUGACAUGUAAAUUGUAAAAGAUACCGUAGAAAGGUGAUGGAGAUUAUCUUUUUGUUAACCUAUGUUUAUUUAAUGAAUGGAUUUUUAGCAUGUUUUUAAUGUUUAUUUGAAAUUCUAUACGUAUGAUAAAGCACUUGUAGUUUGCAAUCUAAGUAAUGCUUGUGCAUUCAGAGAAUGAUUGAGAAAUAAUGUAUGUAAAAAGGAUUACAGUAACAUUGUAAUCUGAAAAGUUAUCUUAGUGCUCUGCAAUGUAAUUCACACAUUAUUAUCACUUGUUUCGUUACUGGAGAACAUAUAAUGUCUUUUUCCUAUUUAUGACAUUUCCUAUUUCCUAUUUAUGACUUUUAUCUUCAUUACUGAGCAGGUGGUAAUGUGAGAAUUGUGUGACAAUUGUGAAAUUUCAUGCUCCAGGGAAAGAAAAGAGUGAGUGGGCAGUAUGAUAUGAUGUGUUAGUGGAGAUUUGUGAUAGCUGGGACUUUUGCUGUGCUCUUGUAAUUUUCUACUUUGAUUCCUGUACAUUUAAAUAGAAAACUGUAAAUAAAGUAUUUUUUUCUUUCAAAUGAAUAUUACAAAUUGGGCCUCAAGAUGCUGUUUUUAACAAUCAGCAUUGCUGAGCUGGUGCAGAAAUAUUGAGAGUAUUUUAUGCACUGGAGAAAAUUUACUCUAAAAUAAAUAGAACAAUAUUAUACCAUGCAUGGGCUUGUCUAUUUAAGGACUUGAUAAGCAAAAUUUGCAUUUUGCCCAACUGAUAUACGAGACCCCACUCCAAUUAACUAAAAAACUCCAUGGGGACUUGGGAGAGUUCCAUUUAUCCCCCAGUUUAUGUUAUUAAUGCAAGUGGUCGUGAGGGGACAGUUUAGGGAGCUUUAAAUUUGGAGGUGUUUUCACACGAUGUCUGUGGGAACAGAAAAAGAUCUGGGAAGAGAAAAGAUCAGCAGGUCAGUGGCACAGAAAUGCCAGGAUAUCCACUCUUAGGGAAUUGUGCUGGCUGUUGAGGGAAGCACAUUGCUACAGCCAAGUUAUUCUUUCCCUCCUGUGCACUUAAACCUUAGUCAGCAGCUCUAACAGUGCAAGAAUGUUUUAUUAUAUCAGUGCAUACUUAAGACAUUAUAAUCUUAAUCUGUUGUCUUGGAACAUUUCCCUGAGCUGAGCCUGGCAAGAUUUAUGUGUGCACACUGCUUCAGGACGGAGUACUUCAUACUUGGGGAGCAGGGAUUCUGAAAAUGUUACAUGCAGCCUUUCAUGCAGCUCAGAACUGUUUCAAGACAGCAGAGGAUUUGGCAGUAAUCUCAGCAGAUAAAACCUCAUGUUGCUAAUUAAUCACCAAAAGUGCAGUCGUGGCCCCGGUGAUUCCAACAGGAGCAAGUUCAAGCUCCACUAUAUCCCCUGAAGACACUCCGGUUUAAACAGAGCAGAGCUUAACAGCACAACACCGAACUUCUCUCUCUCUCCAAGACUCCUGUGAAGAAGAACAACGUUCCAAGUUUUUAAAAGUGUGCUGUAGUAAUAGGGAACAACAUUCCUUAAAAUCUUCUAUGGUUUCCUUGGGAUUCAAAGUGCAACCUCUCUUUUACAGCCUGACUUCAACGGUGUUUUUCUUGACAUAUGCUGCAGACCAAUCCCAAGUUCUUUGGAAAAUAAAAUUCAAGAGACUGUGUAAUUUUCACCUUUUCAAUUAUACAAUAAAUACACUGAAUUUAAAUGCAUGAACCCCAAAAUAAAAUGUCUAGAACAAGA